GACGGAGGAGGCAAGAGGUGUCUGGAAUUAUUGGGCGGAAAGCGUCCGCAGGUGGCGAUUCAAGUCUGCUGUCAAAGGUCGGGGCUUAACCCCGGGAAGGCAGUGGAAACUGAAUAGCUAGAGUGCGGUAGGGGCAGAGGGAAUUCCCGGUGUAGCGGUGAAAUGCGUAGAGAUCGGGAAGAACGCCAGUGGCGAAAGCGCUCUGCUGGGCCUGCACUGACACUGAGGGACGACAGCUAGGGGAGCUAAAGGG
rnacentral:rRNA from 1 species